UACGGGGGGGGCAAGCGUUGUUCGGAAUUACUGGGCGUAAAGGGCUCGUAGGCGGCCAACUAAGUCAGACGUGAAAUCCCUAGGCUCAACCUAGGAACUGCGUCUGAUACUGGAUGGCUUGAAUCCGGGAGAGGGAUGCAGGAUUCCAGGUGUAGCGGUGAAAUGCGUAGAUAUUCGCAAGAACACCAGUGGCGAAGGCGGCUCACUGGCCCGAUACUGACGCUGAGGCACGAAAGCGUGGGGAGCAAACAGG
rnacentral:rRNA from 1 species